rnacentral:rRNA from 1 species
AUGGCCCACUACGCAGUUAACCCCGCCAGUCAGUGGGGUGGCGGAUCAGACGGGACUGGACGGGGCGAACCAUUUUCUCACAGAAGCUGGUCCAAAGGAGCUGUUUUGCUCAUUUAUGACAGCACCGGUGGUAGGAUCUUCACCUGGAUUGCUUGGGUGGGGCAGAAUGCAGGCAUUCAUUUCUACAAGUGUGUAAACAAGGAUUCUGGAAUUUGCAACUACAUGAGGACCAAGGAGAAGUACCUUGCAGAGUUAAGCUUUCAUUUGGGGAUGAAACAACAGACUAGAUACGGCAGCAGCCAGGCCGGAUCGGUUAUGAACUACAGAGUCCGUGUGGUCGAGCAGCAGCGCAGUGUUCCAGCCGUAGGCCAAGCCAUCAGGGUUAAUCAAGCAGGCUCUUUCGUCGCCGCGCUCCGUGUUCUUGCGUUCUUGGAUGCUGCCAUACUCUUUGUGGGUGUCUUAUUUUCAUGGCGUUGCUGA